AUGAAUAACCUAUUUCUGCAGAGAAACACCCGCAGCAGUGACUCGACUAGGAGAUUUCCUAAGCUUCCUAACUCUUCUUCCCCUAUGUUUCAAAAGACUAAGGUCUCUUCAGUCUCCCAGCAAAGUCUAACUGGAAAACGCUGGGGAUACAUACAUUCUCCCCAGCCUUGGCCCCUGCCUCUCCUCCCAGAGACUGAUACACACAGGCAAUUCUCUCUCUCUCUUUUACACACACAAACAACAGACACAACAACAACAACAACAAAAAACUGCCAAGACAGUCUGUCUUCCAAGGUGGAGAUGGCUUUUGUUCAGAUGCCCUUUCACUCUUGAUAAUUGCCUUGUUUAUUUUAUAUUAUUGCUGAGGACAGUGUCAUCAAAAAGACCAUAUUUUGUUUGGUUUUGAUUUUCUUUUCCUUUUAAGUAGAGAGUGUCUUAAGCUUCUAAAUUGUUUUCAUGUUACUAGUUAUCAUCAGUCAUCAGCUCAUAGAAUACAUACUAGGGGAACACUGGCCUCCUAACCAACUUCAAUCCUUAUUCAUAGGCCAAAAACAUGUUCAUUGAUGCAUAUCCCCUGAUGACUUAGAUGGCAAAGAAUCUGCCUGCAAUGAGGGAGACCUGGGUUCCAUCUCUGGGUCAGGAAGAUCCCUUGAAGAAGAGAACAGCUACCCACUCCAGUAUUCUUGCCUAGAGAAUUCCAUGGACAGAGAGGAGCCUGGUGGGCUAUAGUCCAUGCAGUCACAAAGAGUCAGACCCAACUGAGCGACUUUCACUUUCACUUUUUUCAUAUAUAUAUAUGUAUAUGUGUGUACAUAUAUAUAUAUAUACAUACAUACAAAUACAUAUAUAAAAAAACACGCAUACACACAACUCUUUUCUCUUUUGGUCUAAGUUUACUUACUGAUAAGCUGGAGUAUGUAUGUGUGUGUAUAUAUAUAUAUAUACUCGUACACAUAUUACAGAGAUUAUUUCAUCUCCAUAAACUAGCUCAAAACCGAGGCCGAGCCCAAAACAUAAACCCAAGGAGGCCACUGAGCUCCAAGGAGGCAGAAGGAGAAAAGUCAGGUCUGGCUCACAGCACAAGUUCACCACAGUUAAGGAUCAUUAAGCUUGUAUUUUAAAAGUGCAGAAAUUAGAUGUAUUUCUGAGAAUCAGUAAGUCAUUUCCACAGACUAGAAAAGUCCUUCAUGUCUUUCUCAACUUCCUAUUAAACAAAAGAGCUACUCACUGAAGCCUAUAAACCCACUGCAACAACCUGGAAAAAAGGACACGGGAAUAAAAGGCCCUUUCCUUGAACCACCACCCACGAGAGGUUACACUGUACCAGACUCCAAUUCAUCAAAAGGUCCGAACCAUUAACAAAGAGGGGCCAACUCCUUCUCUCCCCAGGGCUCACCCCUAGACAACAGCUCCAUUUUUCAGUCAACACUCCAAAUCGGCACGGGAAAGGAAAAGGACUUUUUUUUUAAAUGCCCCUGCUCUCUCAAACCUGGGACCUUUCCCCCCAGCUUGACUGUGGGCUCUCCGCUCAGGGGGUGGAGGUCAGGUCCUGAGAAACACCCUGAACCUCGACUCUUUGGAGAGGGAGAGUGAAGGAAGGCGGGGUGCAAAUGGCAUCCAGAAGGAAUCUAGAGGGGGGCCCGUCAGACAUUUCCAUUGAAAGGCUUGGUAAAGAGGAAGGAGAAGCCCCCGUGCGUGAACUCCAGAUCUUCAACGAUCCAAUUCUAGGAUCAUCACAAGGCUUUGUUCACCAGUGUUUCAGGGAAAGUGGUGUGUGGACAAUGAUUGAUUACCUGUCACCCUGAACUUGUUCCAAAGUGAUUCAACUUUGGCAAGAUCAGAAACCAAGGACACUGGUCUCAUUCAUUCAUUCUCUCCUUGCACAAUUACUAGGCACUUAGCAAGCACUAAGCUCCAUGCUAAGAACAAGAAGGCUCCACAAAAACAGCCCCUGCCCUUGCAGCAGUGACCAUACAGCAGGGAGGGGAUGCCUGUACAGAUGUCUAUAGAGAAGGCAGAAUUUUAAAGGCCAUAAAUUAGUUUUAGCAAAGUGCUAUGACAGGUCAGAGGCUGUGAGAAAACAUUAUCUCUAUCAGCUACAGCUAAACAUUCCUCUUGAUAAGAUAUCAAUUCAAGGAACAAAUAUACACAUAAAAGCACACACACACACCUUGAAGCAAUCUUUUAAUUGUACUAGAAGUAAGGGUGUUUUGUUUGUUUUAAUUUGGGCAUUAUUUUGCUUUUAAUUCUGAUACGUAAGACUACAUUGGGCUUCCCUAGUGGCUCAGUUCAGUUCAGUUCAGUCGCUCAGUCGUGUCCGACUCUUUGCGACCCCAUGAAUUGCAGCACGCCAGGCCUCCCUGUUCAUCACCAUCUCCCAGAGUUCACUCAGACUCACGUCCAUCGAGUCCGUGAUGCCAUCCAGCCAUCUCAUCCUCGGUUGUCCCCUUCUCUUCCUGCCCCCAAUCCCUCCCAGCAUCAGAGUCUUUUCCAAUGAGUCAAUUCUUCUCAUGAGGUGGCCAAAUACUGGAGUUUCAGCUUUAGCAUCAUUCCUUCCAAAGAAAUCCCAGGGUUGAUCUCCUUUGGAAUGGAUUGGUUGGAUCUCCUUGCAGUCCGAGGGACCCUCAAGAGUCUUCUCCAACACAACAGUUCAAAAGCAUCAAUUCUUCGGCGCUCAGCCUUCUUCACAGUCCAACUCUCACAUCCACACAUGACCACAGGAAAAACCAUAGCCUUGACUAGACAGACCUUAGUCAGCAAAGUAAUGUCUCUGCUUUUGAAUAUACUAUCUAGGUUGCUCAUAACUUUUCUUCCAAGGAGUAAGC
ensembl:lincRNA